rnacentral:rRNA from 1 species
CCUACCCUCAGAUCUGGGAUAACUCCGGGAAACUGGAGAUAAUACCGGAUAAUCCGUGAACGCUGGAAUGCCUUACGGUUCAAAGCUUUAGCGUCUGAGGAUGGGUCUGCGGCCGAUUAGGUAGUUGCUGGGGUAACGUCCCAACAAGCCGAUAAUCGGUACGGGUUGUGAGAGCAAGAGCCCGGAGAUGGAUUCUGAGACACGAAUCCAGGUCCUACGGGGCGCAGCAGGCGCGAAAACUUUACACUGCGCGAAAGCGCGAUAAGGGGACCUCGAGUGCGUGCGCAAUGCGUACGCUUUUCAUAUGCCUAAAAAGCAUGUGGAAUAAGGGCCGGGCAAGACCGGUGCCAGCCGCCGCGGUAACACCGGCGGCUCGAGUGGUGGCCGCUAUUAUUGGGCUUAAAGGGUCCGUAGCCGGACCAGUUAGUCCCUUGGGAAAUCUUACGGCUUAACCGUAAGGCUGCCAAUGGAUACUGCUGGUCUUGGGACCGGGAGAGGCAAGAGGUACCUCAGGGGUAGGAGUGAAAUCCUGUAAUCCUUGAGGGACCGCCAGUGGCGAAGGCGUCUUGCUAGAACGGGUCCGACGGUGAGGGACGAAAGCUAGGGGCACGAACCGGAUUAGAUACCCGGGUAGUCCUAGCCGUAAACGAUGCGAGCUAGGUGUCACGUGGAUUGCGAAUCCAUGUGGUGCCGUAGGGAAACCGUGAAGCUCGCCGCCUGGGAAGUACGGCCGCAAGGCUGAAACUUAAAGGAAUUGGCGGGGGAGCA